GAUCCCUUAGCUCAGUGGUAGAGCGUGUGAUUCCAGUCUGUGUUCUCUUUGGGUAUCCACAAGGUCAAGCGUUCAACUCGCUUAGGGAUCA